GGCUAUUAACAGACCAGAUGGUUCAGAUUACGAAGAAAUUCCUGAUUACAAUAAUGCCAAUUAUCCCUUAAUCAAACGUAGACUAUUAGAAGUUGAUUGGAAAGCAUUACUAGAGAAAGAAACGAACAUCGAGCUAGCAGUUAACACUUUCUAUAGCAUUAUAUACGACAUCCUCGAUGAAAGCGUCCCAAUACGAAGAAAAAGACGCACAAUUGACAAACACCCGCCCUGGUUUACAAGAGAGGUUAAAAACCUUAAAAAUAGAAAACAAAAAGCUCAUAAAGCUUACAAAAGCAAUAGCCAAAAACUUGAUGAGUAUCUACAAAUAUGCAGUCAGUUAGAAGUCACCAUCCAGUUUGAAUUUGAAAAGUAUCAUAGAAAGGUAGAAUCGGAAAUCAAGAGUGAUUCCAAGCAGUUUUUCAAUU